rnacentral:lncRNA from 1 species
GAGUUUUUAAGUUUAAAGCCCGAUGAAUAUUAAGGAGAGAUGCAAGAUGAUAAAUAAUAAUACCAAUUUUUAUAAUUAAAAGAGAACAUAAUAUCAAGACCAUUAAAAAAAAAUAAAAAGAAAAAAUAACCCUAACCAAAGAUUAGGGGAUAAAAUAAUUGCAUUAUUAAAACUAAUACAUUCUCACUCACAGCAACUCAAACACAUGCACUCCCACCAAAUAGCAAUUAAAAAAAGAACCCAAAAUUUUCAAAAAUAAUAAUUAUCCUAAUAAUAAAAAUAAAAUAUAAAAUAAUAUAAAAUCUGAGUCUCUCGAGAACCUAUUACUGCAAUAGUAGAGCAAUGACUGAGAAGAAGAGUGAGGAGCAAACAAAGCCAGCGGAAACAGUCACCGGGAACGCAUCUCCGGCGUCCAUGCUCGGCGACGGCGCCAGGUCGACAUCCCGUGCACUGACGACAGCUGUCAUUGAGAGAAGCGCUGCAAUGAAGAGAACCAAAGCCACAGCUCUGCAAAUGCUAACUUGCGCCAUCUCUGUCUUAGAGCUUAAGAGAGUGAGAGAUUUGGAAAUUAUCACUCGGAUUUUUGUUUUCCCCCCUCCAAAUUAUAUCUUGUUCUGGUUUUGUGAUAUGAGUAGCCCGUGAAUGACUCUCUUGGUAUUUAUAGGCUUGAAGAACCUGAUUUCUUUUGAGAUAAUAGCAAGAAGGUCCCUAAUUUCUACAAAAAUUUAAAUAAAAGCGCAUAAGUGAUAGUACUUUUACAAAGACCCUGUUGUGGUAGUUUAGGUUAAAUUGUUUAUGGUGUUCUUCAUCACGAAAAAUUUAGGUGAGACAAGUUCAACCAAGUUAAAAAAUUUUCAAAUAUUAAUUUAGCACAAGAUUAAUAAAUGUGUGAUUAUCAUAUUUUUGAAUUAGUUUUUGUUUUAAUUUUCACCCUUUUAAUAUUUUUUGUUGCAUAUUAUUUAGGAGCUACAUGGUUAAUACCAUAAUUAUCAUGUCAUAUAUAAUAUUAAAAAAACUCAAAACCAAACAGGUUAGUAAAUAGAUGAUACAUAUUUUAUACGACUUAUACUUGUGUAAUUUAGGUUAAUUCAAAUCUAUAAACGUAAUUUAUAUCAUUUUCAUAAUAAUAAGUCGUGUCAUGAAUCAUAUCAUAUUUAAUAUUAAAUUUUGUUGAAAGUUCAAUAAUAUAUUUCGGAAAAAAUUAAAAUAAAUAAGUUUAUUUGUAAGCUGAUUUCAAACAUUUAACAAUUAAAUGAUUGAUUUUACUAGUGAAUUUUUAACAAAUUCUGAGGAUAGGACUUGUAUGAAUAUGUUUGCAUGCUAUGCCUUUACUUAUGAUGUUUUAAAAAUUUAGGGACCUAGAGUUAUUACCACUAGCACCACAUAUUUUAAAAGAAAUUUGGUAGCGGCAUCAUUCAAGCGGAUCCCACAACGGCUCUCUUUACGUCUGGUCUGUUACCUUUUGACCGUCGGAUAGCUAAAAUAAUGUAAUCUAACGGCUAUGUGUUGAGGAGAGCUUCCUCUUUAGACACAAAGUAAACAAAGAUCGCAGAGACCAGAGCGACGAAACCGCAAAGAGGAACAUAGGAUGACACGUGGCGCACAAAUGUGCGUUUCAAUUCUUCAAAAGCCAUUGUGCUGUCGUUUCGUUGUUUAAAGAGAAUUUUUGACCCGGUUGCUUUAGUUGCAAACUAGCCGUUAGAUACAACGGUCACGGACGUCUUUUCUUUCCAAAUUACUUUAAAAUUUUAAAUUUAACCCCCCCCCCUUUUUUUUUACUAAAAUUUUUAUAAAUUUAACUUUAAAAACAAUAAUGUUUGUAAUUACUUUUGUAAAUUUAAUUUUUUUUGAUAAACUUUAUCAGAAAUCAUAGAGAUUCUCAAUCGUUAUCACAAACAUAAUCUUAGGAUCUUAUUGAUCUUCAAUUAUGCAAUUUUUUUAUUGAUUUUACUUUUAAAAAUGAGGAGGUUUAAAAAUUCAAAAUUUUUAGAUAACGACAUUAUGAAUAUCUUAUUUCAUUUAGGAAUAGAAGUAUGGUCUUUGAUCGAGCCUGAAUAAACUAUAAAUUUAUUGUAUGUAAAGGAAUAAAAAAAAAAUCUUUUUACAAAAAAAUAACUAGUGGGCCUUUUUUUAAAAGCGAUUAUUAAAUAAGGAUGUCUGUUUUU